GACGAACGCUGGCGGCGUGCUUAACACAUGCAAGUCGAGCGAACAGAUAAGGAGCUUGCUCCUUUCACGUUAGCGGCGGACGGGUGAGUAACACGUGGGUAACCUACCUAUAAGACUGGUAUAACCCCGGGAAACCGGGUCUAAUGCCGGAUAAGAUUUAGAACCGCAUGGUUCUCAAGUGAAAGAUGGUUUUGCUAUCACUUAUCGAUGGACCUCCGCCGUUUUGGCUGGUUGGUAGGGUAACGGCUUACCAAGGCAACGAUACGUAGCCGAGCUGAGAGGGGGAUAGCCGACACUGGAGCGGGACAGGGGACCAGGGUACUGAGGGAGGGAGCAGUAGGGAAGGUGCGGCAAUAGGGGAAAGCAUGGCGGAGCAACGGCGCGUGAGUGAUGGAGGUGUUCGGAUCGUGAAACUCUGUUAUUAGGGAAGAACAAAUGUGUAAAGAACUGUGCACGUAUUGACGGUACCUAAACAGAAAGCCACGGCUAACUACGUG
rnacentral:rRNA from 1 species